GUCGAUGGAUCGUCCGUUCUAUAAGUCAUAUCGUCGAGGGAAGGACACAAAAAGGAAAUGGAUCGGCAAAUCUAAGAUUGUCAAUAUGGAAGUAUCGACGGAUCUAACGAUAGACCGAUAGAUGAUAUGGUUAACGGGAAGUUAAUCGGGAAGGCGUAUAAGGGAAAGGUGUUCGAAGAAGCACGGGGAUAAGUGCAACCGAACACACCCAAGGGUCGCCCAUGGAUGCAAUCUCACCGGUAAAGGGAGUAAGCACCGAGAAUGGGUAGGUGAUGUGGUUCACCAUGUAAGGAUUUAAUAUCGCGG
rnacentral:lncRNA from 1 species